GACGAACGCUGGCGGCGUGCUUAACACAUGCAAGUCGAGCGGUAAGGCCCUUUCGGGGGUACACGAGCGGCGAACGGGUGAGUAACACGUGGGUGACCUGCCCUCAGCUCUGGGAUAAGCCUGGGAAACCGGGUCUAAUACCGGAUAUGACUCCAUGACGCAUGUUGUGGGGUGGAAAGCCUUGUGCGGCUGAGGAUGGGCCCGCGGCCUAUCAGCUUGUUGGUGGGGUGAUGGCCUACCAAGGCGACGACGGGUAGCCGGCCUGAGAGGGCGACCGGCCACACUGGGACUGAGACACGGCCCAGACUCCUACGGGAGGCAGCAGUGGGGAAUCUUGCGCAAUGGGCGAAAGCCUGACGCAGCAACGCCGCGU
rnacentral:rRNA from 1 species